AUGGAAGAACUAAACUAUGCGCCUUAUUUCUUUUCACAGAAAAAAACGUUUUGCAAUAACUCUCGAAGUCACAUAACAAUGCACAACGUGGGUAAUUUAACACUCAAUAUCACUAAUGGUAUGAUUGAUGUCAGGAAUAAUCAGUUUGACUUGAUUAAUAACCGGCAAUUCCCUUUCAUACGAAAUCACGAAACAAUAACUGACAAGCCCAGAACUGCAAUAGACAAUAAAGACUGUGACUCCACGCAAAGCAGCACUGAAAAUUUAGAGGAUCAGGAAGAACACGAAAAAGACUGUGAAAAUUUAGAGGAUCAGGAAGAACACGAAAAAGACUGUGAAAAUUUAAAGGAUCAGGAAGAACACGAAAAAGACUGUGAAAAUUUAGAGGAUCAGGAAGAACACAAAAAAGACUGUGAAAAUUUAGAGGAUCAGGAAGAACACGAAAAAGACUGUGAAAAUUUAGAGAAUCAGGAAGAACACGAAAAAGACUGUGAAAAUUUAGAGGAUCAGGAAGAACACGAAAAAGACUGUGACUCCACGCAAAGCACCUCUGAAAACUCAGAGGUGCUUUCUGUGGAGGAAGAACACGAAAAAAACUGUGACUCCACGCAAAGCGCCUCUGAACACUCCGAGGAUGAGGAAAAAUACAGAUUUUCACUGGAAAUCUGUUUGGAACAGCUGGUUGAAAAGUUUGUAAAAAAAUCAGGCAUAGUCAUCAGUCCGGAAAGGAUUUUUGCCAUCUACAACAGGCUUACCAACAAAAUUUGGGCUGAAAUAAGGGGUGACAUUGAUAAAAUCCCCUUAAAGAAGUUAAAAAACUUCCACAAGGUCAUUUUCAAAGCCCUGUGUAAAAGGUGGAAAGAUCCAGAAUUAAUUCUGGAAAUCAUGGAAUCAGAUAUCCCAAGAUUCGACGAUAAAAUUGUUGACAUUUUCAUAGAGGAGGCAGCCAAACUAUCGAAGAAACCAGGUUGCAUACGUCGUUUUUUCUCAUUUAUAGGCCGACUGUUUUGUUGCACCAGGAGACAAAACAAGGUUGAUGUAAUGUAG
rnacentral:lncRNA from 1 species